UGAGGCCGCCAUGGGGGCGGGCCGGGCCGGGCCGGGCUGGGGGAACGUGGUGGCACCGGUACCGAUGCACGGCGCGGAGGAGGCAGUGGUGGCGGGGAGGCCGCGGGUGAGCGCGGCGAGCACGCAGACCGACAGCAUGGCCGGUCAAAUGCCAAGACUUUCUAAGGUCAAUCUUUUUACUUUGUUCAGUCUCUGGAUGGAGCUCUUUCCCUCGGCUGAGCAACAGAAAAAAUCACAGGUCAAGAAGAGUGGUCUAGUUGUGGUGAAAAACAUGAAGAUUGUUGGUCUUCAUUGUUCCAGUACUGACUUGCACGCUGGCCAAAUUGCUCUCAUUAAACACGGAUCAAGACUUAAAAACUGUGAUCUUUAUUUUUCCAGAAAACCAUGUUCAACUUGUUUAAAAAUGAUUGUAAAUGCUGGGGUGAACAGGAUUUCUUACUGGCCUGCAGACCCUGAAAUCAGCUUGCAGAAUGAGGCGUCCAAUCCCAUGACUACUGAUGAUGCAAAGCUAGAUGCCAAAGCAGUAGAAAGACUGAAGUCAAAUAGUCGUGCUCGUGUGUGUGUGUUGCUUCAGCCGUUGGUGUGCUAUAUGGUGCAGUUUGUUGAAGAAACUUCCACCAAAUUUGAUUUUAUUCAAAAAAUAGCAAAAUCUCAGCCUGACUGUAAUACUGACUUUUAUACUGCAUGUAGACAAGAGAAAAUAAAAGAAUAUGAAAGUUUGUUCCUAAUCUCAAAUGAGGAAAUGCACAAGCAAAUACUGAUGACAAUGGGACUGGAGAACCUCUGUGAAAAUCCCUAUUUCAGCAACCUUAGGCAAAACAUGAAAGAUCUUGUCUUGGUCUUGGCGACAGUGGCUGCCAGUGUCCCUGUCUUUGGAUGCUUUGGAUUUUACAACAGCGAAUCACAGCAAACAAAUGAAACAGAUCAUCAGGGUUUGCCCCAAGAAAUUGCAAGGCAUUGUAUGAUCCAAGCCAGGCUCCUUGCCUACAGGACAGAGGAUCAUAAAACGGGAGUUGGAGCUAUUAUUUGGGCAGAGGAAAAAUCAAGAAGCUGUGAUGGGACAGGAGCAAUGUAUUUUGUAGGCUGUGGUUACAAUGCUUUUCCUGUUGGAUCAGAAUAUGCUGAUUUUCCACACAUGGAUGAUAAACAGAAGGAUCGGGAAAUCAGAAAGUUCAGAUACAUUAUACAUGCGGAGCAGAACGCCUUGACAUUCAGGUGUCGAGAAAUAAAGCCAGAUGAGAGAAGCAUGAUAUUUGUGACAAAAUGUCCGUGCGAUGAAUGCGUCCCUUUGAUUAAAGGGGCUGGUAUCAAGCAGAUCUAUGCAGGAGAUGUUGAUGCUGGAAAAAAGAAAGCAGACAUAUCCUAUAUGAAGUUUGGUGAACUUGAGGGUGUUAGCAAAUUUACAGUGGUCCCUUCACACUCUGGAGUCCUCUUCAAGCCUCUGUGUCGCAGCAUGGCAGCUGAUGGGGCGACCACGAUGUGAAUUUGUAGACCAGUCCAGCAGCUUCUGAAAGAGCUGUGGUGGGUUUUGAAGCUGGCCCGGUGCACCUGCGCUCCAGGUGCUCAGCAUGACAAACUGCAGCACUGUCACUUUGGGCAGGCUCGUUUCCACUUCUUGGGAGAGUAAAUGGCCACACAUCCCUUAAUAGCUUUUUACCCUCAAACCAAGUGUGUGUUGGAGGGGGGAGCCCUUUAUUUCCUGCCUCACACCUAGUCAUGCCUUACAGUGAAGGAUUGUAGUGUAUUUUUUCUUUUGGCUUUUGGUCUUCUGUAACAAGUAAACUUUUCCUCCUUCUUUUACCAGUGGCAACUAAAUCCAUUGCACGCUAAUGCCCUUGACUUCCAUGACUCCACAGCCAGGGAAAAUGGGGUCCAGAAAAUAAAAUCACUAGAUGACCAGCAGCACCAAAACAAGAAACUGUGUCUUGGUCACUAUUGAAUAAUUAAGCACUUCUGCAGUCUCACUCUGUACUUUUGAUAAUGCGGCUUGUUUGCACUUUCAAAUAAGGAAAAGUUUUAUUUAUUGUUUGGAAAGUGAUUUUUAGAAUAAGUUUAUUUAUGAUGUCUUAAUGUUUUACUGAAUCACCUGAAGGUCUUUUUAAUUUAGAAGUUCCUGGCAAAAAAUGUUGCUUGUAUUUUCUGUGAAACGUUUGCUAAUCAUUUUUAACACAUUAAAAAAAUACUGAAAGUCUAUUUCUGGUCAGUCAGAGUAAUAAUAAAAUGGUAUCUGUCUUGUAUUGAGAUUGAGGGAAUGGAUUUCUGCAUUCUGGGCUAGCAGAAUGCAGAAAUAAGCCCUAGUUCUUCAAGUACAAUCAUCAAGGCAGUCUUCUAGGAAAUGGCAGAUAAAUAAUCACUAGCAAUUAUUCCUAUUCCUGAAAGUGGCUUUUGCUUCUUGGUCUGUUUGUAUAAAGGAGGCAAAGCCACUGGGUUAGCAGUCAUUGCUAGGUAGGUGAUUUGGAGAUCCAGCUUGUCUCUCAUACAUACCCUCUUCCAAUCACCAUAGCAGCAGAGCUGUUUAGUUUUGUGGUACUUGCAUUGCUGCUUUGUGUGCUUCCUCAAGUGCAACCCAUCUGAAUUAAUGGAGACAAAGAUUAACUUUGCUUUUACUCAGCUUCUGUAUGCAGGCCUAAGAGAAUUUGGCUCUGUGCAUCUCACUGGCCCUUACAAACCAUGUGAAGAUUGCUACUGUUCAGGUUUUGUUAAUCUGUAUUAACAGCCUGCUAGGACUGGAGAAUGUAAUAAGCUGCCAGAUCAUAAAAUCAUAGAAUGGUUUGGGUCAGAAGGGACCUUAAAGAUCAUCUAGUUCAACCCCCCUGCCACGGGCAGGGACACCUCCCACUAGAUCAGGCUGCCCAAGGCCCCAUCCAGCCUGGCCUUGAACACCUCUAGGGAUGGGACAGCCACAACUUUCUUGGAUGGGGUGGAACCAGUGGAACAACCCAAAUCCUUUCAGGUGCCAGUCUCUUGGAUGACUCCGUGUGGAGCAAGCAUGACUUUACCAGCCAGUGAAAGUGCAACCUGACGUUGUUGAUUUGAGGGUGUGCUGGGUAGGUAAUGGGUGACCAGAAUGGAGUGUUGUGUCCUGCAUCUUUUGAGAGGUCGCUCUUCUUACUUCUAUUUGUUUGCUGCUUUGAAUAUGACCUCUAGCUGUUUGUUUUAGUAGGUGCUCCCAGACUUGCUGUUCAUUCCUCUGCUCAGCUCUCAAGUCAAACACCUUAAACCUUUUUCUGCUGCUGCUGCUGUGAUAUAUAAACAGCCUUUGCUCAAUUCUUUCAUGCAUCUUGUCCUUGCUGGCCUCCUUAAAGUCCUGGAAAAGGAGUCAUGUCUUAAGAUGCUGCUGCAGGUUCUGUUUGUUUGAUUUAGACUUUGGAAAAGGUUGGAACUAGAUAGCAAAGCUGUGACUGGAUAAGCUGUGACUGGAUAGCGUGCAAAGCAUCCUUUAAUGUGGCAUUAAUUUUGUGCAGUCUGUUCUCACACAGUUUAUCUACUGGCCCUGUAACAUAAGGUACAGCUUAAGGUACAACUUAGGUUGGAGCUGUAGCAAGGAGCUGUGAUUCCCCAUGGCUCAUACUCAUUCUUGAGUACCUGGACAUCAGAGCUGAGGAACGCUUGUGUCCUUUUACCAUCAUGAGAACUCUCUGGAACUGGAGAAGUUGCUGUUUUUGUGAGCCUGGUUAGACCAAAGGCAACUCUAGAGUUGCUGGUUGAGUGUGGCAUGUGUGUUAUUGGCAGCAGAAAUCUCAUCAGGCUGACCUCCUGCACCACUGCUGCCUUGGUGAGCAGGGACUCAGACAGCUUCAUCUCCCAGGACCAUCUCCCAGGUGGUGAAUGAAGGAGAAAAUCUGACACUGUUUGUCAGUUAAGGGAAGUAUGGUGAAAUCCAUUUUUGCAUCACACCACAAAAGAGAGCUUUUUCACAAUAGCUCAGGAGGAAAUGGCUGAACUGCCACUUCACCAGGUCUUGUAAUCUAGUGUGGAGGAACCUGGGUCCUGAAUUUGGGACCAGCAGAUCCAGCUGCAAGAGUUCUAUGCCUUAUCUGUCAGAUUCAGAUUCUGGGGCCUGGGAAUUAAGUUAUUGGUCUGGAUGCUGUGCAAGCCUCAGAAAGACAGUUUUUUCCUUUCAAGGAUUGUGUAGUUUCAUUGUUUGUAACUUCUGUAUGAGGUUAAAGUCAAAUGUUGGUGUUUCAUAAGCAAGGUUAUAACCUGGUUUUAAGUCUUAAAUACCUUACUUUGGCAUAUGUCCCCACCACCACCACUUGUAAACAUCUUGUGUUAGAUUAUUCUGGGCUUCUUCUAAAGAUCAGAAAAACACGGUCCAGAUUAGAGUAAAAAGUCCGCCCCACCCACUUAAACCUUCCUGUUUCCAUAAUCCAUUGGCAACACUCUUCUACGAGCAGGGGUAAAAACAGGGUCAGGUUUAAAGCCUCAAGUUUUAUACUGAUGAGCUAGCUGGUAUCAGAAUCAGUAAAGAAGCUUCUGUCUGAAUUGGAGUGGCCGAAAUUGAAAAGUCCCUGAAACAUGACAGGUGGCUUGGGGUGCAUGGAGAGGUAAAUCAAGAUACAAGUCAAAUAUCACACACAUUGAAUAACUACACUGCAGUGAAUGCUGCUGGAAACCUGUACCUCAGAAGGAGUUAAGAUUUUACCCUUACUUUUUCUUGAGUUUUAAAGAGGAUUUUUGUACUAAACUUUCCCUGAAACCUGGAAUUGAUUGUAGGGCUGAAGGCUUGGAAGUCUGGCUUUAUUUCUGUCUCCCCAAAUUUCUACAGAUUCCUUCAAAGGUUCACAAAGUUCUGUAGGAUGUGACUACCAAUAUAACCCAACUUCUAUAAUUCCCACUAGGAUUACAAAGCAGAGUCUUUAUCCUGGCCAACAGGAACAAUGUGAAUGGGCUUUCUCUCUCAACCCAUGGACUCUCUAAGUGCUGCUGUGUAUGUCACCUGCUUUCUGGGAGAGCCACGGAAAACUGGACAUCUCCUACAGUGCUUAUUUUGCAAACAAACUCUAGGGUGUUUGUUUCUUAUAAAAGGAACAAUGUAUUUAAAAUUAUGAAAUGUGAAAGCUAUAUAUUUUAUAUAUUAUAUGAAAUUUCCAUAUGCAUUUUGGGUCUCUUCCAUUCAUUUCAGCAGUUGCUUUAAUUGCAGGUAUUAACUAUCCAAUAAUAAUUUGGCCUCUUGACUGAGAAUUACAGAAAUUCUCUGUUAAUUGUCUGCCUUACAGCAAAACAUGUUUUCUACUAAUAAAUUAAUCCAACAGUGA